AUAAAAAAUCAUGGUGUGCCAGACAUCAAGUAACAGUACUUGUUUGUACAAUGAGCUUUUUAUUUAUGGUUGGUCUUAUUGUUGGUGUUGUUUAUAUGGAAAUGAAACACCGUGAUAAAUAUGACUAGACGGUUUUUUUUUCUUUUUUCUACAACUGUGGUGCUGCAAGAUCAACCAGAGGAUUAACAACUUGUUUUUUUUUUUUUUUUU